UGGGCAGCCAUUUCGGAAGAGGGCAAAGCACCCGCCCUCCGUCUUAAAGAGACACAAAGGAAUAAACUGCUGACCAGCUUUAAGGCCUAUGGCAGGAUACAGUGUGGUUACUGUAUGAGAGCUAAGAAGAAAAAAAGAAAUAUUUUCGCGUAUUUUUAUAAUGUCCUUGGGAGAUUCGGAAGGUGGAUGCCCAGGUAGGGACAUACCUGUCUCUGGGUUCCCAUAGAACUGAGGGUAAAAUUGCGGUGAUACAGCUACAUCUUUACUACAUAUUGCCAAAUUACUCUCCAAAGUGGUUGUACUUCCACCAGGGCUCUGAGAGUUGUCUUUUGGGGAAGGUAUUCAAGAGCAAGUACAGAUCUCAGCAGGGGUUUCUUGGACACAGAGGGGAAUGAAGAAAUGGAACAGCAGAGGAAAGCACGGGAAAGCUGCAUGUAAGAAAGAACAACAUGCUCUUUGUGGUUGUCUAUACCUAUUUGAGAAGAGAAACCAUGUCUUAUGUUGGUCUGCACAUAGAAUAAAUAAAUGGCUAU